GUUUUACAGUUGCAAAUUUCCAUUCUUUUUGCCCCUGUGGGCACACAUUGCUGCCGUUCCUUUUUCUGUGGACAGAUCAUGCCAGGGCUUUUGGAAGAUUACCCUGGAACAUCUAGAUCAGCCCAGUGUAAUCACAAGAACCCUUAAAAGUGGAAGAUGGAAUCAAAAGAGAGAACCAGAGAUAGCACUGUAAGAAGGACUGGCCUCAAUGUUACUGGCUUUGAAGAUGUGGGAAUGGGGCCAUGGACCCAAGAAUCAGGCCCCCUUUAGAAGCUGGAAAAAGCAAGGAAAUGGAUUCUGUCCUAGAACAUUCAGAAGGAAUGCAGUCCUGCUAACACCUUUAUUUUAGCAUGGCUGACAUUCAACUUAUUUCAGCCAUUGAGGUCAGCUGGAGAUCCUGACCAGCGUUAGUGACCUGCUGUCCCUGCUGUGGCCCUGUGUCUGGAGGUGAUCCAAGGAGACCCCGUUCAUCAUUUCUCUCUGCACCUACACCUCAUUUGAGAAUCUUCAUGUGGGGUAGAGAGGGAAAUCAUCCGAAGGUCAUGCAGUAUUCCAAACUGUCAGAUAUUAUUGAAGAUCAAAGGGCAAGAUUAUUGAUGUCCAAAUUGAUUGGCUUUCUUGGCAUCAUGAUUCCAGAGCCACUAAACUGAUAAAAUCAAAAGGCAGCAUAAUCAAGACCAACUUAGAAAGGUUAGCUGUGGUCAGAAGAAAUUUAUGAAGAGUGGCUAUUAAGAGAGAGAGCACAUGUAUGCAGACUGUGUUUAAUAAUGUGGCUAUUCAGCCUGCGUUCAUGUGACUCAUGAGUGACCUAAGCAGUUUCUUCACAAAGCACACAUGGAGAGCACAGACACAGAGGCAAGUUGGGGGAGAGCCCUGGCAGGUAAAUUUUCUGCGCUCAGUGACCUGGGAACAGGAAUGAAAAAUCCUACUGCUCUUUUGGGAGAAAGGCUAAAAUUCACAGGUGGCAAUCCUUGCUCAGGACAUUUUGAUUGCUGAGGGCACGUUCUAACUUUCGGUCCAGCUAUGUCUAUUGGCCUGUCAGGCAUACCUCAGGUGUCAUACAAUGGGUUCCACUUCAGUACAGUGACCCCAUUCUCUACCACUGGGGUGUGAGAGUACAGGAUUUAGGAUACCACUCACUGGAGACUAUGUCCCCAGCUCCAGACAUAACUUCAUCUAAUUAUUCCAAACAAAUGCCUGUUCUGUGGGCUCUCUUGCCUUACACAUCAAGUCCCAGUGACUUCCAGAGAUGGUAACCACACGAAUCAAUAUUGCCAUUGUGUUAGAUGUAGCACUCCCUGCCAGAAAUCCGUCUCACUGUGAUGAUUACGUAAAAGGUUCUUAGAUGGUUUUCUCGCCACAAUCCUUGACUCUAGGGUUAGAUAAAGUUACCUGAAAAGGUCACCUUAUUCAGGUGACUAUAUGCAAGAAUCAUCUGAGGCCAGUGUAGUAUGAAACAUGUUUAAUGCCCUAUACAGCAUGGGCACCAGGCAAUCCAAAUGGAGGCUGGCCAAUGAGCCGAAUGUAUCAGCCCUGCCAAAGAACUACCUACGUGAGCGGUGAUCUCAGCCUCCAGUUCCCCUCACGAUCUUUAGAUUAAAUGAUCACUUUUCAGAGUUUUUGUGUGUCAUCUCAUCUAUUUCAACAGGUUACCUCCCUUUUUUCUAAGGGAGGUAAGUGACGUGCUGAAGGUCAGAGGUAAUCCAAAUAAAUUCUGGAACCCCAUGUGCUCCAAUCUGGAUAUGUUGUCUCAGGCAUAGAAACACAACCUAGAAAACCAAAAGUAACCGUACAUCUUUCAAACCUUUUAUCAGUUCUUCCAGGAAAUGACAAAGAGGAACGCGUGUUCUUAAUAAACAGCUAAAGUUAUCAUCUUUUCUCUCCACUGCUUCCUUCCUUAGCAUAUUUUACAUAGACUGCAGCUGCUCCUUUACCAGCCUAUUUUCCUCCUGUCACUCUCUCUGAAGGUCUUCCACAUGUGUGGGCUCAACAAUCCCCCUUCCACUGCUUAAGGGAGCGCAGUGAGGUCUUACCCAGCAGCCAUCUUGGCCAUGCUGCGGGAGGAGCCGGGGAACCGGAAGCCAUAUUCCCCGUGUCCCCAGCAACCUAGACCUUCAUAUUUGUUAGGGAGAGAAGCACCCAGAGCCCACCGAGAAAUGCAGUUCCUGCGGUCUGACAGAUCUGGUGACAAAUCAUUUUUGGAAAUUUCGGUAGAACAAAAUUCUGAACCUCUUUGCAUGUAUGCCUGCAAAAGCUAGAGUCCAGACCAAACCCUAGAGUUUCUGGGGUCUGUGCAAAUGGAGAGAGAAUAUGUCUCAUUUACUGCCGGCACAUAGUUAGGACACAGUAAAUAUGUAUUAAACCAGGGUAAAUUGAGAAAUAAUUUAGGAAGAAAAUGACAUUAGGAGGGACCAGGUAUUGGAUAGUUUUUGACUGUCUGCCUGCCAGCCUGCCUGCCUUUUUUUUUUUUCCCUACCAGAAUGAUUUGAAUUGACCAUCUACAUUGAAAAACUUCAUUGAUUGAUGGUUUCAUUCUUCCAUUCGCUUUGUGCAGACCCUUUGUAAUUUACUUUUAUGUUCGGUCUCUGUUUUCUCUUCCUGUCACUUUGCCCCUCUCUUUUUCACUGCUUGCCUGAGAGUAAUUUUCCAUCAUAUUGUUAUAGCCAGAGGUCUCUGACAGGGUGGCAGUAAAAUGACACAGCUAAGUGAUACAGAUUUUAAUGACUUAAUGCCAUAAUAAUUUCUAACAGAAACAUAAGUAGAGACAGGGGUGAUGUUUUAAAAGACAUAAAAAUGGGAAGUGGACCAUGGACAAGUUGUACCUGAGACAGAAUCGUGGCAGAAAUGGGAGCGAGACAGCUAUGCACGAAGUUGGUAGAGGCAGGCCCAUAAAACAGAUGCUGUUAGUAAAGGGGGAAAAGUCACAGAAGAGAAAAAUAUAGCAUUUUGAAAGUAUUCGAGAAAGAAAAAAAAAGAUGACAAAAAGAAAAUGUGGACUGGCUUCUUAACAGAGAAAAAGAGAAAAUAGGAAAUUACAGAAAAAGGACAGAAGGCUUGGCCUGUCUUAUGAGCCAGCCAGGCUUGGUGACAAAGGUAACAUCCCGAAGAAUACUUAAGGUAAUAAUAGUCAAUGAGGAAAGAGCACGGAGAAGCCAUGCGCCUCAGAAUGCCCAGGGUAGGAAAAUCGCUGCAGACCACAAAAGGAGAGAACAGAGGAGGGCAGGCCAGCUGGCAAUUAUUUCUGAAACCUUGUGGAGGAUUAUUAGGUUCCUAGGAAUUUGAAAAGGGAAAGAUACCAAAUUGUUAUUUUGACAGCGUGAUGAAAACGUGUUAAAGUAGGUCACAGAGAAUCUGUGGAAUUGGUGGGCUUCCUUGGCACCAAGGUAAACUCUUGGUAAAAUGAAAAAAGUGGCUAAAAGAUAAAUGCAUAGCUAACUUGCCACGGGCUCACGUGUGGGUCUCUAAGGGCCGUGGGUCAGACGUCCGCCUCUUUCCAUCCCCGCCCCCAUUGCGUGAAAGCUCACUGGUUGUUCCUCUGAAGCUGGCUACAAAUCCACCUGUGGUAGACCUAAGCGUCUCUCACCGGGGUUCCGGUUCUCUUCUCUUCUGCGCAUGCACGGAAGGACCAUACCUCCUCACCCCAGGGCAGAUGGGCAUGAACUUGUCUGGAUGGAUGCAUUCAAGGGCUCUUUCUUGCCCUGGAGACUCAAUGAUUUUAUGUCUGGAGGUUCAUAAGUCACAAGAUAUCUGGAAUUAGGUGGGAGACCAUGCUGGUGACAUUUGGAAGAACCUGGCUGGGGAAGAAUGAAGCUCAAUUAUUUUUGUCUACUUUGCUAACAAUUCAGAGUUCUGAAAAGUCUGGAUCGCACUAUGAGAAGUUUGUGUGCUUAGUGAAAUGUUGUCCAAUUGGCCAAUCCACUUGGUCUUGGGAAAUGUCCUAGAAGCUUGGCAAGAAAAUGUUCUCAAGAGAGAACAAAUGCUGCCAAUUUCCAAUUGGCCAAGACACAUUACAAGGACAACCUUCUCUCCGAGCAACCUGGCAUUUCCACUCCAAUUGGAAUCUGCAACACAAAGAUGCACGCGGGGGAAAGACUAAGUAAACAAACCUUUCAGAUUUCCGCUCCAGCCAGUUGCCUGGUACCAUGAUGUCACCUACUACUGUUUAGUUUCCAUCCACCAGGUCUACACUAGUGAAUACUCCAGGACCAGUAAAGUCACUUGUUUGCCAGCAGCAGCAGUUAUUUCUGCAUUGACCAAGCUGGUACUUUGCUCAUCAUCAAACCCAGUCCAAGUAUAGGUGGCUGCUUCUGGAAUUAACUUCCAAACGCUGGAUGGAAGUCAGGUGUGUUUUCAUCGGGUCCGUGCAAAUCCAGGCAUUGAGUUGAUGUUGUGGAUAUAACAGGAUUGAUUUCUGGCCUUUGGGGAGCCAGCACACAGACAAUGAAGCAGGAAAACAUGAUGACCUAUGAUCCACCAGAAUGGAAGCUCCAUGAAUGCAGGAUGGUGCUUUUUUCUGCUUUUGCUCACUACUGUAUCACAAGCCCUUAGGGCAUUGCCUGCAAGCAGUAGGUAAGGAUAUAGAAAAGCUUCUGAUGGAUCGAGGUGUGUUUUGACCUGCUGAUCAUGUGGGCAACUACAAAGAACAUGGACUCUGGACUCAGCUAGACCUUGGACUGAACUCUGCUCUGUUACUUGCUACUUGUGUAACCAUUGGCAAGGUAUUGAUCAUGAGUUUCCUCAUCUACAGAAUGGAGAUAAAUAUGUAAGUAUGUAUAUGAGAGAGAGAGAGAGCCUAACAUUCACAGAUAGGAAAUAAAUGGCAGCUUGUCAUAAUAAUAGCACAUUUUAGGAUGCUUUGCCCUUACAAACUUUGUUUUGCUCUGAGGUAAGUAAAGAAUAAAUGCUGAGUUCUGGUUUGGCUUGAGAAGUCAAAAGUGGACUGAUCUCAGGGCACCUGUGUGAUUCAGUCCGUUGAGCGGCCAACUCUUGAUUUCGGCUCAGGUCAUGGGCUGACAGCAUGAAGCCUGCUCUCCCUCUCUCCCUCUCUGUGCCCCUCCCCUGCUCACAUCCUCAAACAAUGUUAACUAGCCUAUUUUAUCCCUUCUUCAAAUAACCUAAGUUUUAUGUCACAUAUUUUUAACAUAAAAAUCAUCCAUAUUCCUUUUAAAUUGUGGAACGCAGUAUUAGAUGUGCUGGCAGAUCUGCUGGAUAGUUUAUCUUGGGUCGUCUUGAAUUGCCUGGGUCUCCAUCUUUGGGUCUACCUUGGCUUUGCUUGUGGGGAUGGCUACUGUUGCAUAUGCAGUUGACUGUGUUCCAUGGGUAUCCAACCUUUAUUUUUUUCCUCCUUGACCUUACGCAUAUCUGAUUCCUAUGCUUAAGAAGCAUGAGCCGUAUCUUCUUGCUCCAAAUCUCCUGGUAGGCUACAUCCAGUCUGUGUUUUCACAGGGGGACUGAUGUAGAUACAAAGAGAAAAACAAGUAUUGAGAUUAAUUUAUUAAUUUUUCAUUCACUCACUCAACAAAACUUUAUUUGAAACUUUCUAUAUGCAAAGCAUGACAAGGUGCUACAAGAAAUAUACAUGACAAGAAUACAUGUUCCAAGGCCUCAAGGACCCCAGAGUCUAGCAUACUGCCUGUGAGAUAUUAGGCCUUAUAGAGCAAUGGGAGGAAUAUUUCUCCCUUCAACUGGACCCUGCAGAGUAUGUGGAACAAUCUAAAUAGUUCUUUUCUUAAUCAGCUUGAGAGGAGAAAAGUCAACUGGGCCUUUCCCUUCUUUGAUAUUUGAGAUAUUCUUGGAAUGGUAUUUCAUUGCCCUUUGGUAGAAUAGCUCACAAAAGCCAAAUAAUACUUUGUGUAAACUAUAGACUUCCCUGAAAGAGUGUGUUGGAAAUUUUUGACUCAGCUAACUUUCUGUCCAGUUAAACACCCAACAUCAAGAAGAAAUUUGAGCAUUUGUACAAAAGUCUAACAAAUUCUUACAAAUUAGGAUAGAAUUAAAGAAAAUUAAUUAUGGUCAAUAAGCUUGUGGAAGCUUUAUUUUAUUCAGUGUAUCCCCAAAACUGAUUUUUUGUCUGGUUUUAUUGAGAUAUAAUUGACAAGCAACACUGGAUAAGUUUAAGGUGUGCAGCAUAAUGAAAAAAGACAUCUAUAUUAUGCAAUAAUUGCCACAGUAAGUUUAGUUAACAUCCAUCACCUCACAUAGUUGUGAAUUUUUUCCCCUUGUGAUCAGAACAUUUGCAUUUUACUUUCUUGACCACUUUCAAAUAUACCAUACAACAUUGUUAACUAUAGUCAUCACGUUGUACAUCACAUCCCCAAUCCUUACUUAUCUUAUAACUAGAAGUUUCCACUUUUUAACCACCUUCAGUCAAUUCCCCCACCUCUCACCUGCUUCUUGAAAUCACAAAUCUGAUCUUUUUUUUUCUAUGAGUUUGUUUGUUUGUUUUUGAUUGCACAUAUAAGUGAGAUCAUACAGUAUUUGUCUUUUUCCGUCUGACUUAUUUUAGUUAGCAUAAUGCCCUCAAGAUACAUCCACGUUGUUGCAAAUGUCAGGAUAUCCUUUUUUUCAUGGCUAAACAGUAUUCCAUGUAAAUGGGAUUAUUGAACACUUAGGUUGUUUCUAUGUCUUGGCUAUUGUAAAUAGUGCUUCAGUGAACAUGAAGGUACAGAUAUCUCUUCGACAGAGUAACUUUGUUUCUUUCAAAUAUAUACUCAGCAAUGGAGUUGUUGGAUCAUAUAGUAGUUCUAUUUUUAAUUUUUUGAGGAAUUUCCAUACUGUUUUCUAGGAUGGUUGUACCAGUU